UACAGAGGGGGCAAGCGUUGUUCGGAAUUACUGGGCAUAAAGGGCGCGUAGGCGGCCUUCUAAGUCGAACGUGAAAUCCCCGGGCUCAACCCGGGAACUGCGUCCGAUACUGGAAGGCUUAAAUCCGGGAGAGGGAUGCGGAAUUCCAGGUGUAGCGGUGAAAUGCGUAGAUAUCGAGAGGAACACCUGCGGCGAAGGCGGGUUGCUGGGCUGACACUGACGCUGAAGUGCGAAAGCUAGGGGAGCGAACGGG
rnacentral:rRNA from 1 species